rnacentral:rRNA from 1 species
AGAGUUUGAUCCUGGCUCAGAUUGAACGCUGGCGGCAUGCCUUACACAUGCAAGUCGAACGGUAACAGGCCGCAAGGUGCUGACGAGUGGCGAACGGGUGAGUAAUGCAUCGGAACGUGCCCAGUAGUGGGGGAUAGCCCGGCGAAAGCCGGAUUAAUACCGCAUACGACCUACGGGUGAAAGCGGGGGACCGAAAGGCCUCGCGCUAUUGGAGCGGCCGAUGUCAGAUUAGGUAGUUGGUGUGGUAAUGGCGCACCAAGGCGACGAUCCAUAGCUGGUCUGAGAGGAUGAUCAGCCACACUGGGACUGAGACACGGCCCAGACUCCUACGGGAGGCAGCAGUGGGGAAUAUUGGACAAUGGGGGCAACCCUGAUCCAGCCAUGCCGCGUGAGUGAAGAAGGCCUUAGGGUUGUAAACCGCUUUUGUCAGGGAAGAAAUCUUCUGGGUUAAUACCUCGGGAGGAUGACGGUACCUGAAGAAUAAGCACCGGCUAACUACGUGCCAGCAGCCGCGGUAAU